UGCAAGUCGAGCGAACAGAUAAGGAGCUUGCUCCUUUGACGUUAGCGGCGGACGGGUGAGUAACACGUGGGUAACCUACCUAUAAGACUGGGAUAACUUCGGGAAACCGGAGCUAAUACCGGAUAACAUUUGGAACCGCAUGGUUCUAAAGUGAAAGAUGGUUUUGCUAUCACUUAUAGAUGGACCCGCGCCGUAUUAGCUAGUUGGUAAGGUAACGGCUUACCAAGGCGACGAUACGUAGCCGACCUGAGAGGGUGAUCGGCCACACUGGAACUGAGACACGGUCCAGACUCCUACGGGAGGCAGCAGUAGGGAAUCUUCCGCAAUGGGCGAAAGCCUGACGGAGCAACGCCGCGUGAGUGAUGAAGGGUUUCGGCUCGUAAAACUCUGUUAUUAGGGAAGAACAAACGUGUAAGUAACUGUGCACGUCUUGACGGUACCUAAUCAGAAAGCCACGGCUAACUACGUGCCAGCAGCCGCGGUAAUACGUAGGUGGCAAGCGUUAUCCGGAAUUAUUGGGCGUAAAGCGCGCGUAGGCGGUUUCUUAAGUCUGAUGUGAAAGCCCACGGCUCAACCGUGGAGGGUCAUUGGAAACUGGGAAACUUGAGUGCAGAAGAGGAAAGUGGAAUUCCAUGUGUAGCGGUGAAAUGCGCAGAGAUAUGGAGGAACACCAGUGGCGAAGGCGACUUUCUGGUCUGUAACUGACGCUGAUGUGCGAAAGCGUGGGGAUCAAACAGGAUUAGAUACCCUGGUAGUCCACGCCGUAAACGAUGAGUGCUAAGUGUUAGGGGGUUUCCGCCCCUUAGUGCUGCAGCUAACGCAUUAAGCACUCCGCCUGGGGAGUACGACCGCAAGGUUGAAACUCAAAGGAAUUGACGGGGACCCGCACAAGCGGUGGAGCAUGUGGUUUAAUUCGAAGCAACGCGAAGAACCUUACCAAAUCUUGACAUCCUUUGAAAACUCUAGAGAUAGAGCCUUCCCCUUCGGGGGACAAAGUGACAGGUGGUGCAUGGUUGUCGUCAGCUCGUGUCGUGAGAUGUUGGGUUAAGUCCCGCAACGAGCGCAACCCUUAAGCUUAGUUGCCAUCAUUAAGUUGGGCACUCUAGGUUGACUGCCGGUGACAAACCGGAGGAAGGUGGGGAUGACGUCAAAUCAUCAUGCCCCUUAUGAUUUGGGCUACACACGUGCUACAAUGGACAAUACAAAGGGCAGCUAAACCGCGAGGUCAUGCAAAUCCCAUAAAGUUGUUCUCAGUUCGGAUUGUAGUCUGCAACUCGACUACAUGAAGCUGGAAUCGCUAGUAAUCGUAGAUCAGCAUGCUACGGUGAAUACGUUCCCGGGUCUUGUACACACCGCCCGUCACACCACGAGAGUUUGUAACACCCGAAGCCGGUGGAGUAACCUAUUU
rnacentral:rRNA from 1 species